rnacentral:rRNA from 1 species
AUCUAGGCUCUUGCAUCGAUGAAGAACGUAGCGAAAUGCGAUACUUGGUGUGAAUUGCAGAAUCCCGUGAACCAUCGAGUCUUUGAACGCAAGUUGCGCCCGAUGCCAUUAGGUUGAGGGCACGUCUGCCUGGGUGUCACAUAUCGAAACCCCCUGCCAAUUUC